AGGGAAAAGAACUAACGCAGACUGAAAACGGCUCCCCAGGCAUAGUUAUAAGUUACGAGAGUUUUGGUGCGGUUGACUACGAAGGGAGCGUCUUCGUUGACAAGAGCGACCAAGAUAACGACAUCAUUGGCUUUGUGUUUGCCUACCAAAGGAAGGGGCGAUUUUAUGCGGCGUCUUGGAGACGGGGUGAUCAAGAUGGCGGCGUUGCUGGCCUUUCCAUUCAGAAAAUUCUGUCUGAAGACAAAAGUGGAAGUAAAUUGCAAAAAGCAUUAUGGCAAACGACUACGACAGAAAAACAGGUAA